rnacentral:rRNA from 1 species
GUCGGUUAAAUACCGACCUGCAUGAAUGGCGUAACGAGAUGGGAGCUGUCUCAAAGAGGGAUCCAGUGAAAUUGUAGUGGAGGUGAAAAUUCCUCCUACCCGCGGCAAGACGGAGAGACCCCGUGGACCUUUACUACAGCUUGACACUGCUAUUUGGAUAAGAAUGUGCAGGAUAGGUGGGAGGCUUUGAGUAAUAGACGCUAGUUUAUUAUGAGCCAUUGUUGAGAUACCACUCUUUCUUAUUUGGGUAGCUAACCAGCUUGAGUUAUCCUCAAGUGGGACAAUGUCUGGUGGGUAGUUUGACUGGGGCGGUCGCCUCCCAAAUAAUAACGGAGGCUUACAAAGGUUGGCUCAGAACGGUUGGAAAUCGUUCGUAGAGUAUAAAGGUAUAAGCCAGCUUAACUGCAAGACAUACAAGUCAAGCAGAGACGAAAGUCGGUCUUAGUGAUCCGGUGGUUCUGUGUGGAAGGGCCAUCGCUCAAAGGAUAAAAGGUACCCCGGGGAUAACAGGCUGAUCUCCCCCAAGAGCUCACAUCGACGGGGAGGUUUGGCACCUCGAUGUCGGCUCAUCGCAUCCUGGGGCUGGAGCAAGUCCCA